rnacentral:lncRNA from 1 species
AGAGUAUUUUUGUUGCUGCUUUGUUAGAAAAUUAUUUUCUUCUAUAUUACAUGGAUCAGUCUACUUUUUUUCUCUUAGUAAGUAAUAUGCAAUGACUAUAAUUUACUUUUAGAAAAUUAAAGACAUUGCUAUACCUGGGAAGAUCUUCUCCGGUAUGUAUUUUUUUUUUUUUUUUUUUUUGCAGCCACAGCUUAGAAUUAGAGAAGGUGAUAGGAUAGGGCUGUACUAUUUGUGAUGCCAUGUCCUUGGAGAGCCCUGCACUAAGCUGAGUGGAUUCUAGUGAAUGGACAAUCAGCCUAGCCCCAUGGAACAAGUACAGGAUUUGGAAUCAGACAGCUCUUGACAUAAAUUCUGCCACUAGCACUUAUAAGCUCUGCUAUCUUAAGCAAUUUAACCUUCCUGAGCUUUAAUUUCUGCAGCUACUAUUUUUGGAAAGAACAGUACCCACCAGUGUGUUUACUGCUGGGGAGUAAACAAGACCAUGUAUAUAAAUGUAAAGUGCUUAACACAGCACCCGACAUGCAAUGUCAAAGACACCAUGACACUCAUGAUUAUCAUACUCGUUCAGGUCAGGGACAGGGAAGAAAAUAAUUAGGUUCUGAUGAAGAUACGCAGUUUGGUAGUAAAACAUGCUCUGUAGCAGAGCUAUUUUCCUCAAAAAGAGAUGAAUCUCUCUGAACUGUGAAUAUACAGUGUGUGAAGAAGGCAAGGUGACUUUCAGCCUUCCUAUAUUUUGGUAGCUUUGCUUGCGAAUGGUGACUGGUAACUGUUUCCCAGAAUUUGCUGUCACACUGACAUUUGAUGGUUUCUUAAUAAUUUUCCAUUUCUUCAACGUGUUAACCAUAAACUAUAGCUAUUUUGUUGGUCCAUGGCAGGCCUAAUUGUGAUGUUGAGUAAUUGCUUGGCACACAGAAAAGAUUGCCUUCUAUAUUUAAACAUGUUUAUCAAUCAUGCCUUCCAGACACCAUCUGCCCAAGGAGGGCCACAACAAGUGGAAGUCCAGAGAAGGAUGACUUUGGGAGGAAGCCUCUCCCAGGAGCAUAGAAUAGAGCCCGUCUGGCACUAAUGAUUGUUCAAGGUGGAUGAGGAGAGGGAAAGAGGAAAGUGCACUUAAAGAAAAUUCUUAACUUGCUUAUUAAUUGAAAAAGGCAGGUGCCAGGCUGCUUUGAAUUCUGCUGGCAGGCUGCAAAAUGUGCCAUUUUCCCUGCUAAUAAAUCCUUCAACACAGGAGACAUCUCUAGCAAUCUUUACAGCAAGCAAUAAAGGAAAAAUUCAAUUAAUAUGAACCCCGAGGUUAACUUUAAAAAUCCUAUAGCCUCUUCUCCUACAAGUAGAGAGUUGAAAGAUAAGAAAAGGAAAGGAAAUAAGAAAAUAGAACCCACUGUCAUUAGGAAUUAAUUCAGGAGCACAUUUAGUCCAGGUUUAGUCCAGGUUCCUUAGCCUGGCAUUCAAGGUCACUUUAAUGUCCACAGAGCCCUACCUUAGACACUGCCUCUUGCAGCCUUGGUACUGGAGACAUCCUGGGAGUGAGGCUGGAGGGGGAAGGAGGCUUACUUUCUAUUUAAUUUAUGACACUUUCCACAUUUAUCUUCAUAGGUAUUCUCAUUUCUGUUUAUUAGCUGAGACACAAAGUUUAGAAGAUUUGCCGAAGGAAUACAGGUAGUAAGCGAUUGAAGUGGGACUUAAUUCCAUGAGCAUAAUUACUCUUUGCUUUCAUGUUUUCUCCCGUGGGUUCCUUGAGGGUAAGUUUUAUUAUUUAUGUAGCAUUUUAAGUUUAUUCUUUAUUAUUAUUAAUAACAUACACUCAACUCGGAAUACUCGGUAACAAAGAAAAACCAAAGAUGUUUAAGAACUUAAACUUUAUUUUUGCUAAUAAUUUGAUUUGCAUGCUUCCAUUCAUUUGUGUGUGUGUGUGUGUGUUUGUGCAACUGCUUAGACAUAAUCACACCAUUUGGAAACUGACAUAAUGGCUAAGAGUGAGUAGAAUAGAUUGAUACAAAUCUAGACCUGGACCUGAAUCUUUUACUGUUGUUUUACAUUGAAUACAUUUCAUAACCUUUUUGACCCUCAGUUUUCUCAUCUGGCGAAAAUAAAAGUCUUUCUAAAUUUCCAUUUCCUCAUUUAUAAAAUGGGCAUAAUAACAUUUCAUAAAUACUUUCUGAGAAUUAAACCACGUUGUUAAUGUAAAACAGAUAACAGACACAUUUGAUUAGCUAUUGUUAUAAUAACAACAACAAUGAUUACUGUGGUUAUUAUCAUUAUCAGCAAUAUUUCUUUGUCAAUACAUAUUCUUUCACAGUAGUAUUUCUCAACCUUUGUUUAAUACUGACCUGCAAAGGAGCUCUUAGUGACAUUUUUCCCCCUGAAUGGUGCCCCCCACCAUGAAAUUUUAACACUGGAUAUAUUGCAUGUAUCUGUAUGUAUAUUUGCACUUUAUACAUACAAAGAGCAAGAUUUUCUUCACCCUUGCAAGGCAGUAUUUUAAGCCCCUACUGAAAAUACAUACAUACAUAUGUCUAUGGCAUGAUUUAUAAUAGCGUAUUGCAGUCCAAUAUCUAGAUAAAUUACAAUUUACAUCAUUAAGACUGUUAUUAAAUAUUUGGGUUAUUUUGAAUGUUUUCCUAUUUUUUUGGUUAUAUAUAAUGAACAUAUUGUGCGUGUGUGUAUAUUUCCUUAAAGAGACAAACAUAAUUUUGUGUACAGCUAGAGACACCAAUGGCAUGUCUCAAAGAGCCAGUCAGGAUUCAACUCCAGGCUUUCCCUUCAGACUUUCUUUACUCACUUUCUACAUAGCACUCUACACCCCAGCAUAAUGAAUGUAGCUCCCAACCAAUCCAUGUUUUCUUUUCUUGUGUAUUCCACUCAGUGGUUGGUUGUCAACAAGACACUAUGAAUCCUAACUGGUUCAAUAUAAGUAUCCAUAUUUCUGCCCAGUGGUGUCACAUUUUUAAUUUGGAUUCUAAUUUAGAAGCACUUCUUCCAGCCACACUGAAAGUAGGUUCAAGAGACACAAAGCAGAAAGACUACACAGAACUAGAAACCAAUUUGGGAGAAAGAAUCAGGUUUGUUAUUUUGGGGGUAAGGAUAUUUGUUUGUUUAUACCUCAAGUGUUUAUUGAGUAACUACUAUGUGUUAAGCACAUUGUAGUUAGUGUCUGCAAAAAUGACACUGAACAAGACAAAUGCUGUCACAUUCACAGAGAUGGUAAGUCUUUAAAUAGUAGUAAUGACCCCAAUACAAGAAAGUCACAUCCCCUUAGUCUAGCAAAUCAAAAGAACAGCGUGGAACAGAAAAAUGUGGAACAUGCAAGAGAAACUAAAACAGUGCUAAAACAUUGGCCUGCUCAGGAUUUUUAUCAGCUCCAUAGAGAAGAGAGAAGUGAGACUUCUUGGAAUCACACUUAUAUAAAUCUUUAAUAGUUUGUUUUAUUUUUUUGCCUAGUUUAGCUCUUGAGUAAAAUGUAGGUCAUUCCCAUUUCAUAGUGAGAGCACAGUCAUUCUUAGAGAAACUUUUUGUGAAUUUUAUAAACCUCUGAAUUAAAGAACUUUUUUGAGUUAAGAAAACCAAGUUGGAAUCUGAUGUUGAAGCUUCUUGUGGUUAGUGGGCCAAAUCAGGAAAGUAGUUCCCCCUGUACACAUGGCUCUAAGAAGGCUUACUUAAGACUGAAAGUGCUACAUGUUGUGUUUGCACAAUAUUUGAAUGUCCAUCCAUGUGUUCUGCCUGGGCUUGCUGUAUCUACUACUGCUCACAAGACCUCCCUAAACCUCCCACUUGAAUUCAGUUGUUUUUCUUUGAUGUUUCAUCAACACCUUAGAACAUACUGAGCAUAACACUGAUUUCCCAUUUCAUGACUACUGUUUUACUUCUCUCUUUUCCCCAGUAGACUAUGAUUUUCCCAAAGCAUUGGCUGUGUUUUUAUUUCUUUUUUUUUUUUUUUUUUUUUUUUUUUUUUUUUUUUUUUGCUAGGGGUCCAUUCGGAGCCGUAGCCACCAGCCUAUACACUAGAGCCACAGCAACGCGGGAUCCCAGCCGCGUCUGCAACCUACACCACAGCUCAUGGCAACACCAGAUCGUUAACCUACUGAGCAAGGGCAGGGACCGAACCUGCAAACCUCAUGGUUCCUAGUCAGAUUCGUUAACCACUGCGCCACGACGGGAACUCC